AAGUUUCAACAACGGAUCUCUUGGCUCUCGCAUCGAUGAAGAACGAGCGAAAUGCGAUAAGUAAUGUGAAUUGCAGGACUCAGUGAAUCAUCGAAUCUUUGAACGCACCUUGCGCUCCUUGGUAUUCCGAGGAGCAUGCCUAUUUGAGUGUCA
rnacentral:rRNA from 1 species